rnacentral:misc_RNA from 1 species
GGAUGAAGAACGCAGCGAAAUGCGAUAAGUAAUGUGAAUUGCAGAAUUCAGUGAAUCAUCGAAUCUUUGAACGCACAUUGCGCCCGCCAGUAUUCUGGCGGGCAUGCCUGUUCGAGCGUCAUUUCAACCAUCAAGCCCCAGGCUUGUGUUGGGGACCUGCGGCUGCCGCAGGCCCUGUAAACCAGUGGCGGGCUCGCUGUCACACCGGGCGUAGUAGAUUUUAUCUCGCUCAGGGCGUGCUGCGGGUUCCGGCCGUUAAAAAGCCUUUUUUACCCAAGGUUGACCUCGGAUCAGGUAGGAAGACCCGCUGAACUUAAGCAUAUCAAUAAGCGGAGGA